rnacentral:rRNA from 1 species
GACGAACGCUUGCCGCGUGCUUCACACAUGCAAGUCGAACGGUGAUGAACAAGCUUGCUUGGUCUGAUCAGUGGCGACCGGGUGAGUAACACGUGAGUCACCUGCCCCAGACUCUGGAAUAACCCCGGUACACCGGAGCUAAUACCGGAUAUGACACUCGCACCCAUGUGCAGGGCGCGGAACGUUUUUCGGGCUGGGAUGGGCUCGCGGCCUAUCAGCUUGUUGGUGAGGGAGUGGCUCACCAAGGCGACGACGGGUAGCCGGCCUGAGAGGGCGACCGGCCACACUGGGACUGAGACACGGCCCAGACUCCUACGGGAGGCAGCAGUGGGGAAUAUUGCACAAUGGGCGAAAGCCUGAUGCAGCGACGCCGCGUGAGGGAUGACGGCCUUCGGGUUGUAAACCUCUUUCAGCAGGGAAGAAGCGCAAGUGACGGUACCUGCAGAAGAAGCACCGGCUAACUACGUGCCAGCCGCCGCAGUAACAC